rnacentral:lncRNA from 1 species
AAAGCGAUAAAAACCAGAAAAUCCAAAAAGUACCUUACAUACUAUAUACAAAUCCCAAAAAGAGUUAUAAUUACAUUCUCCAAAAGUAUCGAGUCAAACCACCAAAACAAAAACAAACAUCCUAACUGUUCAACUAUUACAAGCCAAGCUAACUAUACUAGUAUACGAGCCAAAAGUCCCCGCGUCGGCCCUGCUAAGGAAAACAAAAGGAAUGGGGUAAGCUAUAUACUUAGUAAGUAAACAGGGGCGAAAACAUAAAUUUCACGUAACAGUUACACAAUAAGAGUAAAGCAAAAGCAGAAAAGUAACAUCACAUAAUAAGGAUACAGGUGGCUCCAAAGCCAACUCAUGUGCCAUGCGUGAUCUCCUGCCGACACUCCGUCGACUGCAAAUAAUAGUCCGUAGAACUUCACUUGUACACCCACCGACACCUUAUCACCCUCACUGGCCAGUCACCUCACAAACUUGCCCGGGCGAACGAAAUCACAAACUUGAGCUUGAGUCACAAGCUCGGAUCACAAACUUGGUCACCUUCUCGGUGAACCGGAUUCACAAAAUUGGUUCAUAAAAUGAACCUACAAACUUGGUGACCUCAGACUAAGUUGGACUGCCUUCGACCAAGCCCUAACCGGCUCGAAUAGUCCAACCAGGUCAAGAGUUCGCCCCAAACUCACAAACUUCACAAAAUUAUUCAAAAUCACAAACUUUGCAAACUUCACAAACUUUAUUCGAAAGUCGCCCCGAGCCACAAGCUCAAGGGUUUUGGUUCCAAAAGGUUCAUAUACAUAUGCCAAGUACAAUUAUACAUUCAAAUUAGGGUUUAGGUCGAGUGCGAUAAAGUACACCCUCGCCUAAGUGCCCUUUUCACAUAUCUCAAACACAUAGCAAAGAAAACACACCAAACCGGCCUGAAUACUUACACAAAGUAUAAAAGUAGUACAAACGUGAAAAUCACUUCGUGCGUGUUCGCUAGUAGGGCCCACCAGCUCCGCCUAGCUCACCACGAU